CAGGCCUAACACAUGCAAGUCGAAUGGUAACAGGAAACAGCUUGCUGUUUCGCUGACGAGUGGCGGACGGGUGAGUAAUGUCUGGGAAACUGCCUGAUGGAGGGGGAUAACUACUGGAAACGGUAGCUAAUACCGCAUAACGUCGCAAGACCAAAGAGGGGGACCUUCGGGCCUCUUGCCAUCAGAUGUGCCCAGAUGGGAUUAGCUAGUAGGUGGGGUAACGGCUCACCUAGGCGACGAUCCCUAGCUGGUCUGAGAGGAUGACCAGCCACACUGGAACUGAGACACGGUCCAGACUCCUACGGGAGGCAGCAGUGGGGAAUAUUGCACAAUGGGCGCAAGCCUGAUGCAGCCAUGCCGCGUGUAUGAAGAAGGCCUUCGGGUUGUAAAGUACUUUCAGCGGGGAGGAAGGGAGUAAAGUUAAUACCUUUGCUCAUUGACGUUACCCGCAGAAGAAGCACCGGCUAACUCCGUGCCAGCAGCCGCGGUAAUACGGAGGGUGCAAGCGUUAAUCGGAAUUACUGGGCGUAAAGCGCACGCAGGCGGUUUGUUAAGUCAGAUGUGAAAUCCCCGGGCUCAACCUGGGAACUGCAUCUGAUACUGGCAAGCUUGAGUCUCGUAGAGGGGGGUAGAAUUCCAGGUGUAGCGG
rnacentral:rRNA from 1 species